GAAAUUAAAUGUCACAUAGUCUGCUCUGAGAAAAGAGCCAAGUUCAGGGCAGAGACUACCUUCCUGGGUACCCCCCAAGAAGGAGUCUUGAUCACUUCUCUAAACAUGCCCUGGAUGUUCCCAGAGCUCAUGAAAACGCUGCUCUCCAGUGGUGCUAGCAGCUCUGAUGAAGGCUAAGUCCAAGCUCUGAAUUCAGGAGAGCAGAGCUGCCUCCUGCUCCCACCACCGUGGUUCUCAGGCAGUAAUGACAUCUUCUGUAACCAGAAGCACUCCAAGAACAACACUUUCAUUCAUGGACUUAACAACUACAUUAGAUCAUACCAGCCUGUCACUUCAAAGUCACCAGUGUCAAGGAACAUUUCAAAUUGGCUUAAAGCAUUGUUUUGGAGGUGUGAAUAAUGAAGCCAAGGACAUUAGCAACAUCAUGAAAGCAGGCAUCAAGUGAAUAGAGAAGAUUCUAUGGAUGUAGAAGAGGUCCCUGGGUUUCCGAAUUGCCACUGGAUUGCCUCUAUCAAAUACACAAGAGUUUCAUGAUCACAGGGGACCCAAGAUUCUUGGACAGAAUUCUCGCCGGGAGCCAACUCAGCCUGAUCUGCUGGCAUCUCUCAAGUAUCAGAAGUCAACAAAAUGGUUUGCCUUGAAGACUUGGCCAGAGCAGCAGCCAAAGUUCAUAAGGCUUUCGUAGAGAGAUUGUUUGUCUAAGAAAACAAAAUUCUAAGGGCUCCCAUUGUGCAGCUGGGGUGGCAAAAUGCAAACUAAUAUAAGGAAAAAAAAUGCUUUUCAUUUCCAUGGAAGAAAUGACCCAUCCUAUUGUUGAUAUUUCCUUUUCUGUGCUAACUUAUUCCAUUAAUUAGGCUCUCGUUUUAUGAGAUAAUUUCACUGCAUGCGUAUCUUCUUUUGGUUAUUACACAAGGACUGUUUUCUAUGGUUCAUAUCUAAGUCCAACCCUGGAAAAAUCUUUUUUUUUGAGACAGCCUUUUUUGUUUUGUUUUGAGACAAUACUCCCUCUGUUGCCCAGGCUGGAAUGCAGUGGUGAGAUCAUAGCUCACUGCAACUUCUGCCUCCUAGGCUCAAAAAAUCCUCCCACCUCAGCCUCCCAAGUAGCUGGGAUUGCAGGCAUAUGCCAUCACACCCGGCUAAUUUUUGGAUUUUUAGUAAAGUUUUGCCAUGUUGGCCAGGCUGAUCUUGAACUCCUGCCCUCAAGUGAUCUGCCCACCUUGACCUCCCAAAGUGCUGGGAUUACAGGUGUGAGCUACUGUGCUCAGCUCAGCCAUGGAACAAUCUUGAUGUAUAAUUUAUCUGCAGGUAUCUCCAUCUCUAUUUGCCACUCUUAGUAAAUGUUUUAGUUUGACAGUAAACGAGUUGAGACAUUAAUGAUUGAGAGAGCACCUAAGCAGCUCGAAGUGCUGGGAGUCUCUCCUAAAGAAUUAGAUGCACACAGCAUUUUUCCCUUACAGACACUUCACUGAGCAGUCAUGUUGGACUUGGGUGGCGUCUGCUAUUAGACACACUAUUCACCAAUAAAACCCUGAAAAUUGCAUUGCACAGGACUGAUAAAAAUAAGAUGACUUAAGAAACGUAUUUAUGGUAUAUAUACACAGAAAAAGAAUGAAAGUUUGAGGGGGUAUUGCCUCUGGGAGGAAGAGUUAUGAGUAGUUUGUAUUUCCUUUUUUGUUAAUCUGUAUUUCAUUUUUUAGGCAAUGCAAAUAUAUUAUUUAGACAACAAAAUACUUAUUAGAAAGAAAAGACAUGGUGGGUUUUUUCCCCUUUAUUCUUUGCUUUUCUAAGAGGAAACUUUGACUGCAAUUGCUUGUGAGUGAUACCUGUGUUCUGGUAGCUUAGGAAGACACAAUGUGGUUAGGGAAGGAUAAGAACAGAUGGCUUUAAUAAAUGUACUCAAGGCUAAUGUACCCUUCAUAGUCUCAGGCUUCAGAUCAGAUCUCUUAUCUAUGCUGGCACCAGGAUGUGGUUUUGAGUUCUCUGCUUUUUCUACAGCUUUAGGGAAAUCUGCAUGCAGGCACAUCUAAUUGUCCAAACCAAAAAUCACAUCCAGGAUGUGAGGCAGCCUGGGAGAGGUCAUUUUGAGUUCUGUAGUCUCCGAAGUAUAAAAACACAUAAACAUGUAUACAUACACACAUUAACACCCACACACUUUUGAAGGAAGAUGGAAUGGAAGACAAGCACCACAGUGAAACUUUAGAAGAAUUUCCCUUACAUUCAGGAAAAAAAGAUAGAGGGUCCAUUUUCAUCACUCUUAUUGCCAUUGUCUAGAAGAUAAGCCGUAAUAAGAUAAAAUAAAAAGUGUAUAGAACACUUGGAAAAAAAUAUAAAAGAUUGGUCCCAUUCUCCGAUGGCAUGAUAUUCAAAUGAAGAACCAACUAUAAACAGGUUGUUAUGAGCUGAAUGUUAAUGUGACCCCAAAAUUCAUAUGCUGAAAUCUUAACCCCAAAGGUGAUAGUGUUAGAUGGUGAGGCUUUUAGGAGUUGACACAGUGUAAUGCCUCUUCUAUGAAGAAGUGGGCCUUUGUCAGUUACCAAAUCUGCAGAGGCCUUGAUCUUGAACUUCCCAGCCUCCAGAGCUUGGAGGAAUGAAUGUUUAUUGUUUGUAAACCACCCAGUUUAUGGUAUUUUAUUAGAGCUGCUCAAAGGGUCUAAGACACAAGUAUAAGUCAUAAGUAAAUGCAUCAAAUUUGCUGAAUAUAAAUCAACAUAUAAAAAAUCAACAGCAUGCUUGGAUCCCUGGUAUGAAUCACAUCUGGUCAUGGCAAAUAAUCUAAAAAAAAAUAAUAAAAUAAUCAAUUUAAAAAAUUUAAAAAGCAACAGUAUUUACUAUUCAUUGCCAAUGACCAAUUAGAAAAUGGCAUAAACAUGACAUCUGUGAUAAGACAAAUACUCUAAGGUAACUAGAACUACAAGUAAUAAAAGAUGUGUACAGUUUACAGAGACGAUUGUAGAAAGCCAAAAAAAAUUAAAAGUGAAAACCUAAAUGGGAAGAAGCAUCAUGUAUAUUGGGUCAUAGUAGAUAUCAUAAUAUAAAUUAUAAAAUACAGAACAAAAUGAUAUAAAAUACUAAAUUUCAAAAUGUGUUGGAUAUAGCUAAAGCAGCACUAAAGAGGAAUUUAUAGGUUUAAAUACACGUAUUGGGGGAGGAAAGAGAUAAAGUUUGAUAUGGCGGUAAGCAUCCACUUAGGGAAAAGUACAAAAAGAAAAUAAUAGUAGAAAGUAAUAAAAUAGAAAAUAUAAAAGAGGUUUUUUAAAAAAUACUUACAAAAUGGACAGUCUUUAUGGGGAUUGAACAAGAACAAAGAAAGAAGGCACUGAUAACCAAUGUCAAGGAUAUGGAAGUGGAUAUGUGGAUAUAACUAAAAUGCUGCAGUUAUUCGAGAUAAGAGUAUUAUAAGUAACUGUAAGAUAACACAUUUAAAAACUUGGUCGAAAUGGUCAAAUUUGUAGAAAAGUAUAUCUCAACAAAACUGAUUCAAGAAAAAUAACCCAUUAAAAAAUAAAUCAGCAGUUACCUUUUAUUUAUUUAUUUUUGACAAGAAAAUAUCAAAUGGUUUUACUGGCAAGAUCUGCCAAAUAUUCAAGAAACAAGUAAUUUCAAUUUUGGACAGAAUUUUCCAGAGAAGAGAAAAUGGGAAGAGGGUUGUUCCUCAUUUUAUGAAGCUAGUAUACACAUCAGUGCCAACAUUUGACAAGGGAAGUUUGAAAAAGGAAAAUCACCGACUAAUCUCUCCCAUGAGCAGAGACUUAAAAAAUUCUAAACAAAAUAUUUGCCAACCAAAUCCGAAUAUAGAAAGGAUUGUACACCAUGAUCAAGUUGAGCUCAUCCUAGGAAUGUUUCCUUUAUGGUAACAUUCGGGAAAGCAAAAUACAUGGGUGCACAUGCAAGAGGUAGGAGAUUGAGACUGGGAGUCUGUAGAACUUCUGAUUUCAUCCAUUUUUUGCAAGUGAAUUAGAUUUUCUUUAAAAAGGUUAUUGGGUGAAGGCGCAGAUAGAGGAGCAGGUCUUGGAGAUUUAAGGGGAAAGGAAGUAUGAUACAGUCUUCUAGAAGACUGGAAGAGUAAAUGGAAUAUAGCGUGAUUGCAUUGGGGCUCCUCUGAGCUUUAUGGGCAUGAAUUUAAAGAUUAUUUGAGGCCCUGGUUUGUGCAGUAAGAAAAAUUUUGUUUAGGGAUUAGGAAGGAAGAAAUAAAACUAAAAAUCUCCCAUUAUUCACAGAUGACAUGAUGAUUCUUAUAGAAAACCCAAAAGAUAUUACUACAUCAAUAUAGAAAACUCAAUUACAUUUCUUUAUUUUUCUUUUUCUUUUCUUUUUUUUUUUUUUUUGCUUUAAGUUCUAGGAUACAUGUGCAGAACGUGCGGGUUUGUUACAUAGGUAUACAUGUGCCACGGUGGUUUCCUGCACCUAUCAACCCGUCAUCUAGGUUUUAAGCCCAGAAUGCAUUAGGUAUUUGUCCUAAAACUCUCCCUCCCCUUCCCCUACUCCCCCCAACAGGCCCUGGUAUGUGAUGUUACCCUCCCUGUGUCCCUGUGUUCUCAAUGUUCAACUCCUACUUAUGAGUGAGAACAUGCGGUGUUUGGUUUUCUGUUUCUGUGUUAGUUUGCUGAGGAUGAUGGUUUCCAGCUUCAGCCAUGUCGCUGCAAAGGACAUUAACUCAUUCGUUUUUCUGGCUGCAUAGUAUUCCAUGGUGUGUAGGCGCCACGUUUUCUUUAUCCAGUCUGUCAUUGAUGGGCAUUUGGGUUGGUUCCAAGUCUUUGCUAUUGCAAAUAGUGCUGCAAUAAACAUAUGUGUGCAUGUGUCUUUAUAGAAUGAUUUAUAAUGCUUUGGGUAUAUACCCAGUAAUGGGAUUGCUGGGUCAAAUGGUAUUUCUGGUUCUAGAUCCUUGAGGAAUCACCACACUUUCUUCCAUAAUGGUUGAACGAAUUUACACUCCCACCAACCAUGUAAAAGCAUUCCUAUUUCUCCAUGUCCUCACCAGCAUCUGUUGUUUCCAGACUUUUAAAUGAUCAUCAUUCUUACUGGCAUGAUAUGGUAUCUCAUUGUGAUUUUGAUUUGCAUUCCUCUAAUGGCCAGUGAUGAGUUUUUCUUAUGUUUUCUGGCCGCAUAAAUGUCUUCUUUUGAGAAGUGUCUGUUCAUAUCAUUCACCCACUUUUUAAUGGUUUUUUUCUUGUAAAUUUAAGUUCCUUGUAGAUUCUGGAUAUUAGACCUUUGUCAGAUGGAUAGAUCGCAAAAAUUUUCUCCAAUUCUGUAGGUUGCGUGUUCACUCUGAUGAUAGUUUCUUUUGCUGCGCAGAAGCUCUUCAGUUUAAUUAGAUCCCAUGUGCCAAUUUUGGCAUUUUUUGAAAAUGCUUUUGGUGUUUUAGUCAUGAAGUCUUUGCCCAUGCCUAUGUCCUGAAUGGUAUUGCCUAGGUUUUCUUCUAGGGUUUUUAUGGUUUUAGGUUUUAUGUUUAAGUGUAAGGAGGGAUACAUUUAAGCCAAAAAGGACAGUCUACAUCUCUGCUUAUUGUCCCAAGGCAGCAGAAAUACAAUUCAUAGAUCCCAACACUUAGCCUUCCCCACCCUAGUCACACAGCAUCCCUCAGCCUGCCAAGGGAAUUGGUUCUGCAGACACGAGGGAUUUGCCCGGGGAUAAAGACCCCUUCUGGUUCAGACAUCAGGAGAUACAAAUGCAAUACACCACAGCUGACACAACUGGACAUCUUCAGUGUUGCAGUCUCACCCUAUCUCUCUGCUUGCCAGCUCCAGCUCAUCGGGCCAGUUAUGAGAAGGAAAACAUAUUUUCUAAAAGCUUUCUUAAGUGUUCACAUGGCCAGCUGCCCUUGUUUGUUCUCCUGAGUACUGAGGUCACUGGAAGCCACAAAACCCAGCUGGGACCACUUCAAUGAGUUAUGCUCCAGGGAAAAUUAUGGUGUGAAAAGGUAAAAGGAAAUUUUGGAAACUGGUGGAAUCUUCAUGGAAGUGUCACCCUGGGCUAAUACCAAGGAUCUGACAUAGACAAAAGUAUGAAUUACUCUGCAGGCUCAGCGCCAAGGGCAAGGUCGUAAGAGCCUGAGAUGGUCUUAACAAAUUAAGUGAGGCAGGCAAAGUUCAGUUGCUUACUGUGAGCUGGACCCUUCUACAUUAUUAUUUUUAUCAUGGAGUCCAAUGUCCCCAUGUUGAUCCUAACAAGCCAAGUCCCACAUUGCAUCAUCCCACAUGGGCCGGCCUUCUCUGGGCAAAACUUCAAGAUGUGAAACUCCUUUUUUCUCCUCUCAAAAUGUGCCAGUCCUGAGUCUCCUGUAUUGGGUUCAUUAAUGUUAACAUACUUUUUCUGGUCUGCUACAAUGAUCCAGGCACUGCACUAUAGUCCAAAGGCACAAAACAAUAAAUUAGACUUGCCCCUUGUUCUCAGGACUGAAAAUGGUUCCAUUCACCAAAAAAACAGGUGAAAGUUUACCCAGCACCUAAACCUGUACUAAUGUAUUAAUUAAUGCAUCACAGUUUAUUUAUUCUACACUUAUUUUACUUGCCCCUGUAAUAUACCACUAGAUGCUUCAGUAUGGGAGAUAUUGAACUCUAAAGUUCUAAGGGUGCUGUGGUGGAGAUAUGGACAUAUCUCAAAAUUAGCAGGAAAUUUAAAUAGCGAUUUUAAGAGAAAGUAAGAUCUGGUUAUGAGAAAGGAUGAAGCUACUCUGGGUGAGAGAAAACUGAGAACUAUGCCCUAGGAAUAUCCAACAUUUAAAGUGUAAACAAAGAAAGUAAAGACAGAGAUGACAACUGAGAAAGAGUGGUAGUCACAGGAGACUCAAGUGAGUGUAGCUGGAAGAUGUCAUCAGAACCCUAGUUAAUAACAUGUGGUCUACCAUUGCUACAAUACAAUGCCCUCCAGCCAUCUCAGGCAGGUGGGCCUUUACUUUCCUCAAAUUACAUUCACAGAUGAACAACCCAUGCUCUAUGAAGGAGUCGGGCCUGCAUACUAUCCUUCCCAAUGAGGGAGAUGUGACAGUUCAGGAUUCAGGAAAGGACCAAAUGGACUCACCAGGCAAGUGUGCUUUAGGAUGGAGGGCAGGGUUGGCUCUGUGCCAGGAGUGUAGAUUUCAUCUGUUGGCUGCAAAUGUGUGCCAGUUCCCAAUGGAAUGCUACUGUUCUCUGACCUGCCCUCAACUCAUAACACAAGUCACAAUUCACUGGAGUUUCACAGUACGUUUCUGUGGAUGUUUGGAAUCAGAAAUGCAGACUCACAGAAUAGCUGUAUAGGAUUUAAAGAGAAUCGGCAGAGUUCAGGCUGCUCAUUUUACAGAGGAGGAGGCUGAGUCUGAAGACUUACUAAUUUGGCCAGGGUUGCAUGGCAGUUUAGCAGAGUAGUUAAACAAAUGGGCUUGAAACUCAAAGAGUCCCUGAGAAUCUUAAAUUGUGUGCCUUAGGCAAGUCUGCUAAAACUGCUAUGUCUCAGUUAACUCCUCUUAAAACUGAGUAAGAAUAACAUAUAUAUAUAUAUAUCAUAUAUUAUGAUACAUGAUAUAUACAUAAUUCAUGUAUUAUAUCAUGAUACAUGAUAUAUAUGUAUUAUUCAUGUAUAUGAUACAUGAUACAUAUAUCAUGUAACCUAUGAUAUAUAUCAUAUAUGAAGAUUAUAUAUAUAUCUCAGAGGUUAUUUGUAAGAGAUGAGAUAGUGAAUUCAAAGCACUUAGCAUGACAGCUAGCAUAUGGUGACACAGCUAUCAUGCAAAGCCAAGUCUUCUGACUCGUACUUUAGUGCUCUUUCCUCUGAACCAUGAUCCCUCCUUUAAAUAGAGAAGUUAAAAAUGAACUUACAGAGACAUUCUAUGUGUACCAACCCAACACUAUAGCACUUGAUUUAUGCAUUCAUUUUUAUAACAACUAUCAUUUGAGCAUCUAUGUACCAGGGUGCUGAUGUAACCAUGCUGAGUGCUGAGGUACUCAUGCUGAAUCAGAUGUGAUCUCUUCCCACUAAGGAGAGAGAAGAUUGUGCCUAUGGUAGCCAGGAAUGAGGUGCACUUGCAAGGAGUAGGGAGGAGUGGGGAGAGUCUAGAGGCAAGGAGAUGAGAUAGAAAGUUCUUGCCCUAAUUUAGGCAAGAGGCAGCAGGGUCCUGAAUUACCUUGGAGAAAAUGGAAAUUAGGGGAAAGGACAAAGAAAUGAGGUAGGAACAUGAGACUUACCCUUGACACAUGAUUAUUAUGUUUAUGAAAUAUUUGUUUUUGUGUUUCUGACAAGCAAUUUGCCUCCAGAAUUGCCAAAUGAGUCUGGUUGUUACUCCAGACUCAAGGUAACAUCUGCUUAUUGCUAGUGCAUAGACCAGGGCAGGUGAUGGGCUUUAGGCCUCUUAUCUAGCGUCUUACACAAAAUUGCAAGUAGACCCAGAAUUACUAGUGCCAGGGCUGCAGAAAUAGGAACUGUUUAGCCAGGUCUAUGACCAUCUGUUUUCCCUCCUGCCAAAUGCAUCGAGGGCAUGAUAGAUCUGGCUUAGAUGGUAACAAAGUGAGAGCAGAGUUGAGCAAAUAGACAAAUGUUUAUCUUUUGCAGGAAUGUGCACUUGGCUCUGGGGAUUGUAGCUGUCCAUCAGCAUCCACACUGGAUGAAACUGCUGAAGGAAGGGGCUCCGAAAACACCCACUUUCCUCAGCCUCUGCGGCCUUAACUCCAUGUGCCAGCAGGUCAGGCUAACAGGCUGUGGUGCUAAAGGCAUCAGGCAGACAUAUCUACUGGCCCAUUAAGAUUCUGUACCUAAACACUACCCACCCCGCCCACCCUGCCCCAGUGAUGGCCCUGCCUUUCCUGCCAGGCCUGCUCUCCUCCCCAAGAAAGGGAAAAUGGUUAGCAACUUUCAGAAACUAAAACAAACACAAAAGUUUGCCAACAUUAAACUCUGCUUCACAGCUAAAUGGACCAUAAACUUUCAGCACCUUGAACAAAACUUCAAUUCAAUCCCUUCUACAGGUGCUGUGGGCACAAAGACUGCACAGUGUAUUUUUGCCCUGGGAAAGAGUCUCAAAUUAUUAUUUUUGUAAAAAAAAAAAAAAAAAGAAAAGAAAAAGUUGCCUGGAAAAAAGUUUCAUUUUGUGCUUAGAAAAACAAGCCAAGAGGCAACGCACACCCCCUUUCUCUCCAUUCUCACUUCCCUGCACUCUCACGAGAAGAUUCCAGCCCACCUUGAAACCCAGCAUGGAUACUAGAGAAGACAUCUUUUUCUCCAGUUUUCAAAUAAGCCUCCAGGAUGAGGCACACGCAGACCUUUCCUGCUAGCCUGUAAUUCACCACCUUCUAAAAGGACCAGGUCAUGAUACAAAUGAAAGCAAUGAAAAGCACAGGCCUGCAUGCCCAAGGUCUGAGUCUUGCUCCCUGUCAUCUUCGGUGUGACCUUAGCGUGUCACUUGACCUCUCAGGUCUCACAUUUAGCAUCCAGACAACUCAGGACUUAAGUUCUCUUACAGCUCUAAAAUUCUGUAUGGGAAUGACAUCAAUAAAGUAAUAUAAUUUUUUGUUCAAACCAGCAAAGAUGUGCAAAUACAAGGGGUAGUGAAUAGCAAUUAUGCCUGGCAUCCAGCAGAACUGUGCUGGGAACCAAGACCUGUGGUUCUGAGGGCUGUCCAGAGAGCGCCACGGCCAUUCGCGUGCUAAACCUUUGCAACCUGAGCCCAGUAACAGGAACACAGAACAUUCUCCAGGAGUCUGGGGCCUUGCCUCCAUUCUCCAGCUGCUCCUCUCCCAUUGUUUUCCCUCUCUACACGACUGCCCUUUCUUGGGCUCCCCAUGCUCUAAGUUAAGUUGGCAGCAUGGCAGAGAUUGAGAGCACAGAUUCUGGUCUCAGACUGCAUGGGCUCAAAUUACAGCUUCAUAAUUUACCACAUGAUCUUGGGCAAGUUACUUAAACUCAAAGAUAGACUUUUCAAACAUUUUUUCACUGCAAUCCACAGUAAGAAAUAUAUUUAACAUAAAUAAUACUCUACGUGUGUGCACACACACACACAUACUCACAUAAAUUAAAAGAUUAAUAAAAAAUAAUUAUUUUUGAUAUUUUGUGAGCACCAUUUGAUUGGUCCUAUUCUAUGUAAAUUUCUAUAAAUGCUAGUCAUAAUCCAGCAAAUUGAUUUCAUGGUCUACUAAUGGUUUCAGACCCACAAUUUGAAAAACCCUGUUCUAAGCUUUAGUUUUCUCAUCUGUAAAAUGAAGAUAAUAUAAAUAAUAUCCUCUCUGUGGAGUUGUUAUGAAGAUGACUAAAAUGUUCAUAUAAAAGCGUUUGGCCACAGUGCAGGGUGGCUCACGCCUGUAAUCCCAGCACUUCGGGAAGUCAAGGCAGGCAGAUCACAUGAGGCCAGUAGCUCAAGACCAGCCUAGUCAACAUGUUGAAACCCUGUCUCUACAAAAAGUACAAAAAUUAGCCCAGCAUGGUGGUGCACACCUGUAGUCCCAGCUACUCAGGAGGCUGAGGCAGGAGAAUCACUUGAACCCGGGAGGUGGAGGUUGCAGUGAGCCAAGAUGGCACCACUGCAUUCCAUCCUGGGCAACAGAGUGAGACUCUGUGUCAAAAACAAACAAACAAACAAACAAAAGGUUUAGCUUGGAAGGUAAUAAGUGCUCAGUGAAUAUUAGUGUUAUUAUUACUCAAGGAAGGGCAUCAGUGUGAAAUAAAUCUUAUACUUCAAGUCCAAAAGGGAAGCUCCCAGUAAUCAUGCCCUUCAUGAACCUGUACAUGAAUCAAAUGGCUUUUCCCAUUGGGCAUGCAUGCCAUGCCAUCAAGCAAGUCAGAAUUUAAGCUUCUGUGCAGGUCAGUGAAGACAUGGUGCUUGCCACUGCAGCAGCAGCCAUCUUGCACACAUGAGGUGCCACACCUGAGGAAGGAAGAACAAAGCAAUGGAAAGACCAGUGUUUUGGUAUUACUGAGUUGCUGAACCAAUCCUGGAACUGGAUCUCAGGCUUUUUAUUUAAAUCAAUAAAAUCUCCUGAUGUUUAAAAGGCAAUUUUAUGCAAACCAGCUCAUUACCUCCUACAGUGUCCCUUCCCUCACCAACAGGAAGUGGCUCCACAUUUCAAUUGCCUUUUUGCCCUUGAGAAUCAGCAUUCCCUAAACCACCACUAUUAAAUUUGGGACUCUGAAACCACAGAAAUACCCUACAGUAGGAAAUCCCCCUUGGGUGCCUAGACUCUCUAUCACCUUUGCAAAGCUUUUAAGUAAAAAAGGAAAACCUCAGGCUUCCCACUUAGCCAUGGAAAGUGGUACCACCUUCAGAGGAAAGAUGGGGGAUUCAGGAGCACCACCUCCAAUUUUAGGAGGUGCCCCUGAUUUCCUCAAAUACUGACAGGUAAUUUAACCUAAACAAUGGAGAGGAGCCCUGCUUCAAGAUGCAGUGCUAGGCUCACCCUGACCAGCACUUGGUAGAUAAGAAAGAGAAAACAACUUACAAAUUCUUCAGUGAUGCUUGGCUCAGUACUUAGCUCGCUGGCUGGCUGACUUUGCAACUACUUCUAGUUAAGGGUUCCAAAGGACUGGAAGGUAAAUAACCAGCAAGGUGUCGUAACACUGAGACAGAGUGAAAUAUUAUUUCCACCCUCUCGUGACCUCGGUGGCCAUUUUCCAGCUCUAGGGCCAGUCUGCACAUGACGAUGAGUGGUAUCUGAUGGCUGGUCCUGGCAUGAAGUGUGAGGGAAUGCCAGUUUAGGACUUGAACCUUCCAUCUCCCACUGAUUCCAGUCAGAGUAAUCCAAACCUAGUCUGUCUUUUCUUUCCCUUAUGCUGCAAACUUUCCCCUGUUUUAGUCAAAAUACACCAGCUUAGUAAUUCUGGCUGCCACAGACUGAAUUUUGAGCCUCACCAGUUUCCAAAUAAUUAAGACAGAGAAAGUGAGUUAAAUAAAAUAUGGCCAGAUUAAAUAAACAAUUCGGUACUUUAGGAGAAGAAUUCAGGCUGGGUCUAAGAUAGGCGCCUAGCGCAGGGCUCUGCAGCAGACAUAAGGAAGUCUUAAGUUGGUUUUCAAUAGGUGUACCUAAGGGUGCAUUUGAUAACAACAACAAAAAGAGAGAUGGAAGCAAAUAUUUAACAAGCACCUAUUAUCUAUCAGGCACUACAUAUACAUUCUCUCAUUUUCUUCUUACAAAGUACACGUAUCCUAGCAAUUAUUUCCAUUUUAAAAAACUGAAAAUGAAAAAUUACUUGCUCAAGAUCAUAAAGCAAGUAAACAUUAGAAUUAGGAUUUAACCCUAGGCCCUUCUUGUGCAGGAGUCAUGCUCUUUCAAGCACACUGUGCUGUCCCCCGGGAAGAGUGAGGGUUAUCAGGAAAAGCAGUGGAAUGGCAGAAAAGAAGAAGGGGAAGGAUUUUAAAACAGGGAAAAGAAAGGACAGAAAUACAUAAAAAUAAGAAAUGGGAACAGGAAGGACUGCAAAGAUUAAGGAAGAACGGUUGGUGAGUACCUUGGCUAUUUAGUGGAAUUUGGUGAUUCAGAACUGGGAAUGGACAGUAAGCCCCUUCAAAUACCCUGGGGAAGCCAAGAUUGUCAUGGAGCUGUUCUUUUCUCUAUCUCAAGUACAAAUGUCUCAAAGAACUCUAAAAGCUACUUAAAGCAAGAGCAAGGAACUCAAACUAAGUUCUUAUUGAGUGGUGGCCAAAAAACAAGCUGGACGAGUUUCCAGAUGAUACUGCCGGGAUGAUUCUUUUAGCUGACAGUUACCAAAAAGGAAGGCUUUCAGGACAUGUCAAUAGCAGAUCUUACGCCUUCUCUGACCUCGGCCUUCCUCAGAGUCUUUUAGCUGUAAUGAGCAAAUAUUAGCAUAAGAGACAGGGACCAAAUAUUUGUUUAGUGUCUGUGUUGAUUAUUAAGCUGUUGCCUGUAAACUCCACACUCACCCUUCAUUCUCAGCUUUGUGUUGCUGGGGCUGGGCCUCUGUAAUCACAUUUCAGCUUUGCCAGAGGGAUUUCUCUUAGGCUGCCAGUAGUGGGGCACUAGAGGGAGUCUGGAGGCAGUGGGGAAGAAGGGAUUUGUUCCUUCUGUUUUUUUGCUGGUCCUGUCAGUAUCAUCCCAGCAGCCCUUAGCUCCAGUUUGCAGUUAUUUUCCUCACUACAAGAACACACUCCCUCAGUGAUAGCGUCUGUCAACCAGAACCUCCUCCCCAGAUAUUGAGUCCCUGUUUUGAGGGUCCCUGCUCUGAGUCUCCAACGCACCUGCCUCCACCAGGCAGCACCCCUCCCUCCUGGUCCAGUUUCCAGCUCUGCAGGGCCCUCCUCCAAGCUUCCAGAUCCCAGGCACCUGACGCAUCCCUUUUGUUCUCUCAGCCCUAGGGGUAGCGAUUGCUUCCUGCAGUUGCUAGCUCCGUGACCCUCCAGUGGUCCUCCUCCUCACUUUCAGUGCUUCAAUUCCUUAUAUUAAGUAUUCUUUAUUAGGAAAACUGAUGGGUGUCUGUUUUCUGGACUGGCCUUUACCUGAUUUGUUAUCACUUCUGUCUACGUCCAGGACAAUAUUGAGCAAUAUUCUGAGGCUAUACUGUGUUAAAAGGAAACUUCAGACAAAUUAAAUUUAACAGAGUUUAACUGAGCAAGAAAAAAAAAUUCAUAAAUUGGGCAGCCUCCAGAAUCACAACAGAUUCAGAGAGAGUCCAGGGAUGCCUUAUGGUCAGAACAAAUUUAUAGACAACAAAAGGGAAGUGACGUGCAGAAAUCAGAAGUGAGGUACAGAAACAGCUGGACUGAUUACAGCUCAACAUUUGCCUUUUUUGAACAAAUCUGAACACUCAGCAGUGUAUGAGUGGUUGACGUAUGGCUGCUGUGAUUGGCCAGACCUCAGCUAUUGUUACAGGCACAUACUCUUAAGUCAGGUUUUCAAUCCUAUCUGACUAUAAAGUUAGGUUACAGUUUGUCCUCAUGGACUCAAAUUUAGAAGUAUGGCGUCCUUCUCAGGCCAUAUUUAGUUCAGUUUAACAAGUGCAUAUGGCUUCUGACAAAGGUGUGGCCCCUUUAGGACUCCAAAGACGCUGUCACUUACAUGGUAUUCAGGGAGGACACAGAGGAUCUGUGAGCAGCCUGCAGCCAAGCUUUGAGAUCAUAUUGAGAUUUUUUUGUAAUAUAUGAGGAGUGUUCUGGCUCCUUUUAUUACUUUCUUCAUAGCAAAAAUUGGGGGUCCAAGUUGUCGUUAAAUUGAAACUCUCUCACUUACCCUGAAAAAGAUUUGACUGUGAGCAUAACAUUGUUACUUCAUUCAAGACAUGGAAGCAAAAGGGUUAAUUAGUGCUGCUCACAAAAUAGUUCUACUUUUUCUUCUUCCAAUUAUAUGAUUGGAUAACCCUUCCCUCCCUUGAAGUCAGGGUUGCCAUGUGGCUUACUUUGGUCAAUAGAAUAUGAUUGAGAGCAAUACUGUGGUACAUCCAUACAGUGGAAUAUUAUCCAGUGAUAAAAAAAAAAAAAAAAAGGAAAGAAAGAAAGCCACAAAAAGACAUGGAAGAGAGCCAAGCGCAGCGGCUCAUGCAUGUAAUCCCAGCACUUUGCGAGGCUGAAGUGAGUGGAUCACUUGAGCUCAGGAGUUCAAGACCAGCCUGAGCAACAUGGCAAAACCCCAUCUCUAAAAAAAAAUACAAAAAAAUUUUAGCUCAGUGUGACUCUGUGUGCCUGUAGUCCCAGCUACUGGGGAGGCUAAGGUGGAAGGAUCACUUGAGCUCAGGAGGUCAAGGCUGCACAAAGCUGCAAUGAGCAGAAAUCAUGCUUGGGCAACAGAGAGAGACCCUGUCUCAAAAUAUGUUAAUGAGAGAGAACUCUGGGCAAGGGGGUGGAGGGGCAGAGGAGGAGUGUGGGGAAGGGGAAGGAGUGCAUACCUGGAAACUCUACUUUCUGCAUAAUUUUUCUAUAAACCUGAAAUUGCUCUAAAAAGUAAAGUCUAUUUAAAAAUAAUAAAUAAGAAAGAAAUAUGAAUAUCACUUGUGUCACUUUUGUGUCAAAGCAUUAACGGCCAGCACAUGAUUUGCCUUGCCACUCCCUUCCUCUUGGUCUGUAGUCCAAUGCUCUACCUCUGAGCUAUACCCCUUCCUUGCCACUCCCUUCCUAAAGAUAAGCCUCCCUCAUUGGAUUAGAAUUCUCCGGAGAGACAGAGACAAUAAGAUAUAUAUAGAGAGAGAUGGAGAGAUAGAGAUAGGAAUUAUCACAGGAUUAUGGAGGCUGAGAAGUCCCGCAAUAAGCCAUCUAUAAGCUAGAGAACCAGGGAAGCCAGUAAUAUGAGUCAGUCUAAGCCUUAAGGCUUCAAAACCAGAGAUGUCAAUAGCAUAACUUUCACCACAAGACUGAAGGUCACAAGGCUGAAUGCCUGAGAAACUGGGGGGUCACUAAUCCAAGCCCCAGAUUCGAAAGGCUGGAUAGAGAACCUGGGGUUCUGAUGUCCAAGGGCAGGAGAAUAAGGGUGUCCCAGCUCCAGAAGGGAGUGAGCAAAUUCACCUUUCCUCUGGCUUUUUGUUCUAGUAGGACCUGAGCCAUAUGGACGAUGCCUGUCCACAUUGGGUGAGGCCACAUCUUCCUCACUCAGUCCACUGAUUCAAAUGCCAAUCUCUUUUGGAAACACCCUUAUAGACAUGCCCAGAAGUAAUGCUUUAUCAGCUAUCUGGGUACCACUUAAUCUGGUCAAGUUGACACCUAAAAUUAAUUAUCAUCACAACUCAUUCUGGUUCUGUUAGUGAGAAUAAUCAAGAAUGCAUCCCUAGCUCGUCACUUCCAAUGAGCCAGUCUUCAGUGGACAUGCACCCUGAGUGGAAAAAAAGUAAAAACUGUUUCUAUUGUUGUUUUAAACAACUUAGAUUCAGAGAUUAUUUGUUAUUGCAGGAUAACCUAGCUUAUCCUGACUAAUACAGAGAGAGGAAGUCCUCCUUUAAUCUCCAACAGAAAUAUUAAACAGCAAUCAAUCACACAAUAUUGGUUAAAAAAACAAAGAUAAUAAUCAUUGUUAUUAUUUUCAUUAUUUCUGGAAAUAAAUUUAAAACUAUUGAAAAAACUUACUUUUAAAAUUCUCAACAUCACUAAUCAUCCAGGAAAUGCAAAUCAAAACCACAAUGAGAUGUCAUCUCACCUCAGUUAAAGUGGCUAUUAUCAAAAAGACAGAACAUAGCAGUUGCUGAUGAGGAUACAGAGAAGGGGAAGUUCUCCUACACUGUUCAUGGGAAUGUAGAUUAGUAUGGAAGUCCAUCAGAAAACUAAAAAUAGAACUACCAUAUGAUCCAGCAAUCCUACUGCUAGGGAUGUAACCAAAAGAAAGGCAAUCAGCAUAUAAAAGAGAUAUCUGCACCUCUUUGUUUAUUGCAGCACUAUUCACAAUAGCCAGAUUAUAGAAUCAACAUAUGUGCCCAUCAACAGAUGA
rnacentral:lncRNA from 1 species